GCGGUUGUAGCUCAGUUGGUAGAGCACCACCUUGCCAAGGUGGAUGUCGCGAGUUCGAGUCUCGUCAACCGCUC
rnacentral:tRNA from 1 species